GUGUACAGCCAUGCCACCCUGAGCACGCCUGAUCUCGUUGGGCCUGGUUAGUGUUUGGAUGGGGGAACACCUGGGAACACCUGGUGCUGUUUGGG
rnacentral:rRNA from 1 species